rnacentral:rRNA from 1 species
UACGAAGGGUGCAAGCGUUACUCGGAAUUACUGGGCGUAAAGCGUGCGUAGGUGGUUUGUUAAGUCUGUUGUGAAAGCCCCGGGCUCAACCUGGGAAUGGCAAUGGAUACUGGCAGGCUAGAGUGCGGUAGAGGGUAGUGGAAUUCCCGGUGUAGCGGUGAAAUGCGUAGAGAUCCGGAAGAACACCGGUGGCGAAGGCGGUUAGCUGGGCAGUUGCUGACACUGAGGCGCGACAGCGUGGGGAGCAAACAGG